rnacentral:lncRNA from 1 species
GAAAGCGGAGGCCUCCGAAGGAAAGACCAAGAUGCAGAGAGAUGUCUAAAAGGUGCCAGAAGGUGACUAUCCAGCCCUGGUAUCACUGCCUGGUGAUUUCGUUUCUUUGAUCUUCACGAAUGGCCUCACUGGCUGUGAUUUGGACAGAAAUCAGCUGCCACGUGCAACAUUCUCCCAUGGGAACAUGUGUCCGCAGUACCUAUCUCAG